rnacentral:lncRNA from 1 species
AUCCAACUACGGCUUGCCGGAAAUGUCGAAGGAAGAACAUAAAUGUACAUUCCCACACAUGCACAUACAUGUUUGUACAAACAUACAUGUUUUUGAUUUGAGCUCCACCUCAUUAUUUACUAAAGGCCUUCAACUCAAGCUCAAUUCUCAAAAUCCGCGUAGAUUGAACCUUGGCAACUGCCUGGUCACUGGCAGAGUCA